UACAGAGGGUGCGAGCGUUAAUCGGAGUUACUGGGCGUAAAGGGCGCGUAGGCGGUUAUGCGAGUGUGAUGUGAAAGCCCCGGGCUUAACCUGGGAAGUGCAUCGCAAACGGCAGAACUAGAGUAGAUGAGAGGGUGAUGGAAUUUCCGGUGUAGCGGUGAAAUGCGUAGAUAUCGUAAGGAAGACCAGUGGCGAAGGCGGGUCUCUGGACAGUUCCUGACGCUGAGGCACGAAGGCCAGGGGAGCAAACGGG
rnacentral:rRNA from 1 species